CCUACGGGGGGCAGCAGUGGGGAAUAUUGGACAAUGGGCGAAAGCCUGAUCCAGCCAUGCCGCGUGUGUGAAGAAGGCCUUCGGGUUGUAAAGCACUUUCAGUGGGGAAGAAAGCCUUGGGGCUAAUACCCUCGAGGAAGGACAUCACCCACAGAAGAAGCACCGGCUAACUCCGUGCCAGCAGCCGCGGUAAUACGGAGGGUGCGAGCGUUAAUCGGAAUUACUGGGCGUAAAGCGCGCGUAGGCGGUCUGAUAAGCCGGUUGUGAAAGCCCCGGGCUCAACCUGGGAACGGCAUCCGGAACUGUCAGGCUAGAGUGCAGGAGAGGAAGGUAGAAUUCCCGGUGUAGCGGUGAAAGGCGUAGAGAUCGGGAGGAAUACCAGUGGCGAAGGCGGCCUUCUGGACUGACACUGACGCUGAGGUGCGAAAGCGUGGGUAGCAAACAGGAUUAGAUACCCGGUAGUC
rnacentral:rRNA from 1 species